rnacentral:misc_RNA from 1 species
UAGCUUUACAUCAACUGCAUGUGGCAGAUUUCCCUCGAAAUUUCAACUUCAAGUUAAUAAAUUAUUCAUAUUUUCUUAAUAUGACUGAAGAAGAAGACUGGGAUGCUGAGUUAGAGGGCGGCGGAACAACAUCAACUGUAACCGCAAAGCCCGUAUACGAUGCAUGGAAUAAUUCAGAAUGUCAAAAUUCGUAUGUCGCUGAAAAUCAACGUUCGCCGCAGAAAAGUGUAAAUGGGUUUGCACGGUCACGGGGGAGAGGUGAAUGGGCCUCAGGUCGGUCUGAUAGAAACAACUGGCGUGAUCGAGAUGAAAAUGGUGGUCAGGGUGGUGGAUUCGGGAGAGGGAAUCGAGGGAGAGGAUUUGGUAGAGAUGAAGGGAGACGCGGCGGAGGAAGGGGAGGAUCAUUCGGUGGUGGAUGGUCAUCUAGAAAUGAAAACAAUGAAGAACACGGCACCGAGAACCAAUCAACUAUGUAUGUUGAGUCUUCAUCUGUUGGAAGAAUUAUUGGUAAAGGUGGCGCCAAAAUUAGAGAGCUACAAGACAACAGUGGAGCAAGAAUAAAGGUAACCAGGGAAGAAAAUGACAAUGGAGAGACAAAGAUUGAAAUAACAGGAUCACCAGAGGUUGUAGCUAAAGCCAAAGAACUGAUAACAGAAACAGUCAACCCCGUGGACAGAAUGGGAAGGUCAUUUGGACGAAUGUCUACAAAUGAAGCAAGUUCAAACUCCACAAGUGACAGUAGUCCGGCACCAGUAAUCAACUGGGCUAUGAUUCGAGCCAACAAGGAUGCUAAUGAGAAGUUGAAAUUCAAAGAUCUCCCCGAGAUUAGGAAGAACUUUUACAUAGAGGAUCCCAGUGUUGCUAAUAUGCAUCCAGAGGAAAUUGCCCAUAUAAGAAAGACCAACAAUGACAUCAUUGUGAAAGACCUCAGUAAAGACGGGGACAAGAGGAUCCCUAACCCAGUCAGAACGUUUGAAGAGGCGUUCCAGCAUUAUCCUGAAAUUUUGGAUACCAUUUAUGCCCAGAAUUUCAAAGUUCCUUCACCAAUUCAGAAACAAGCAUGGCCAGUACUUUUACAAGGGGAUGACUUAAUAGGAAUUGCGCAGACUGGUACAGGAAAAACUCUGGCAUUUUUGUUGCCAGCCUUCAUACAUAUUGAUCAGCAACCAGUGUAAGUUUUGUAUGUUUGUAUUUUUAUUUAAAUCAUACCCAUACCUAGUACGGUACUUAAAAUGCUGCUAGUAAAAGUUGAAUUUGAAGCCAUUGCUUUGAUGUUAUAGACCCAGGGAAGAGAGAGGUGGUCCCAAUGUCCUGGUGUUAUCACCGACCAGAGAGCUCGCAUUACAGAUAGAGGCUGAAGUCAAGAAGUUCCAUUACAGGGGUAUAAAGAGUGUUUGUGUUUAUGGUGGAGGCAACAGGAGGGAGCAAAUUAAUGUGGUGACCAAGGGGGUGGAGAUUAUUGUUGCUACCCCAGGACGUCUGAAUGAUCUUGUUAUGAACAAGAUAGUGAAUGUCAAGUCUGUUACCUACUUGGUGCUAGAUGAAGCAGACAGAAUGUUAGAUAUGGGAUUUGAGCCAGAAAUCAAGAAGAUUUUGUUGGAUAUCCGUCCAGAUAGACAGACUGUGAUGACCAGUGCUACCUGGCCACCUGGAGUCCGACGUUUAGGGGAGAGUUACCUUAAAGACCCAAUACAGGUGUUUGUGGGCUCUCUGGAUUUGGCUACAUGCCACUCCGUGACCCAAUAUAUAGAAAUCAUUGAACAAGAAGAAAAGAAAGAAAGGCUCAUCACAUUCAUCACAGAGGAAAUGGAUGCAGAUGACAAAGUUUUGGUAUUUGUAGGGAAAAAAUUAACUGCGGAUGAUUUAUCCAGUGAUCUGUCCCUUAAUAUGAUCAACUGCCAGUGUAUUCAUGGAGACAGGGAGCAGUGUGACAGAGAGCAAGCCUUGGAAGACUUCAAAGAGGGACACACUAGAAUAUUGGUGGCCACUGAUGUUGCUUCUCGAGGGCUUGAUGUCAAAGAUAUUACGCAUGUUUUCAACUAUGACUUUCCAAGGAAUAUGGAGGAGUAUGUUCACCGAGUGGGGAGAACCGGGAGAGCAGGGAAGACGGGAAAAUCCAUCACACUGAUUACUAGGUCAGAUUGGAGGUCGGCUGCCCACCUAAUCGAGAUUUUAGAGGAGGCAAACCAGAUUGUGCCUGAUGAGCUACUAAGCAUGGCACGGCGGUACGAAGCCCACAAACAGAAGAUGCAGGAGGAGCGUGCUAACGGUACAUACCGCCCCAGGGGUGGGGGGCGGGGCAGACGCAGAGAGGAGGGGGUCUACCUCUGCAUGGAUGGGGUGCCCUGAUGUCAAAGUCAGGGAAGUUAAAAGGGCCAGUUCAUAGCACCAGUUUGGUGCCAAAAAAACCAAGACCACUGAUGUAGUUUACUACGAAGGAGAUUUUAAUCAACCUGACAGUGCAAUACAGAGUAGUCUAAAAGUUGUCCGCACUGAACGACAACUUGUACAUUAUUUUUUUCAUGUGACUUGAAAGAAUCAAGAAAAUUUUGUUUUUUGAUUGUGCUUUCAUUAAAUAUAUGUGAAUGUACUGAAUAAUUACAUUUUAAUGACAUUAAAAAAAAAUACAUGUACAGCAAAUGGGUAAAAUAUGAGCUUAAUCUUGACAAGUUUAAACUCUGCAUUUUUGUUGAAAAAUUUUCGUUCAUAUCAUUUGAUAAAAAUACCAAAAGCUCACAAACUCUGAGGUAUAGUUUUUAAAUAGGUAAUAGAAGCAACAGCUCAGUUAGAUAUUGUGAUAAUUCAGUUUCAAUAUGUAUUUUACAGUUACAUGUAUAUGUGUUGCUGUUUAAUAAAUGUAUCAGAAUGUAUUUGAAACCAGAGACAAAAGCUUGUCACUGCCACAUUAUUAUAGUAUGAACCUGUUCAAAUGAUGUUAAGCUAAAUAUUCUGUAAAGUCCAAAAGUCUUGUUCAAAAUGCCUAGCAUGUCCAUUAAGUGUCUCCACAUGAAAAAUUUUGUUGAUGAAUGUAAUCAAAUGUUUAAUUAGAUACUGGUUGUGUAUAUUGUUCAGUCUUGUUUUGUUAUAAGUUCUUCAUUAAAGUUUCUAAUAUUC